AGUUAAUAAGUUUUAUAGAAACAUAUAUUUUGAAAAUAUAAAAAAGAAGUUAACACUUCUAUUAACUU
rnacentral:tRNA from 1 species